GCAGUGGGGAAUAUUGCACAAUGGGCGCAAGCCUGAUGCAGCCAUGCCGCGUGUAUGAAGAAGGCCUUCGGGUUGUAAAGUACUUUCAGCGGGGAGGAAGGUGUUGUGGUUAAUAACCGCAGCAAUUAGCGGGCGUUACU
rnacentral:rRNA from 1 species